rnacentral:rRNA from 1 species
GAUGAACGCUAGCUACAGGCUUAACACAUGCAAGUCGAGGGGAAACGAUAGAGAAAGCUUGCUUUUUCUAGGCGUCGACCGGCGCACGGGUGAGUAACGCGUAUCCAACCUGCCCAUCACUUGGGGAUAACCUUGCGAAAGUAAGACUAAUACCCAAUAACGUCUCUAGAAGACAUCUGAAAGAGAUUAAAGAUUUAUCGGUGAUGGAUGGGGAUGCGUCUGAUUAGCUUGUUGGCGGGGUAACGGCCCACCAAGGCGACGAUCAGUAGGGGUUCUGAGAGGAAGGUCCCCCACAUUGGGACUGAGACACGGUCCAAACUCCUACGGGAGGCAGCAGUGAGGAAUAUUGGUCAAUGGGCGAGAGCCUGAACCAGCCAAGUAGCGUGCAGGAUGACGGCCCUAUGGGUUGUAAACUGCUUUUAUAAGGGAAUAAAGUGAGAGUCGUGACUCUUUUUGCAUGUACCUUAUGAAUAAGGACCGGCUAAUUCCGUGCCAGCCGCCGCGGUAA